rnacentral:rRNA from 1 species
AACCUUAAGCAUAUCAAUAAGCGGAGGAAAAGAAACCAACAGGGAUUGCCUUAGUAACGGCGAGUGAAGCGGCAACAGCUCAAAUUUGAAAUCUGGCCCCCGGGUCCGAGUUGUAAUUUGCAGAGGAAGCUUUUGGCGAGGCGCCUUCCGAGUUCCCUGGAUACGGGACGCCAUAGAGGGUGAGAGCCCCGUACGGUCUGGUGCCGAGCCUCUGUAAAGCUCCUUCGACGAGUCGAGUAGUUUGGGAAUGCUGCUCUAAAUGGGAGGUAAACUCCUUCUAAAGCUAAAUACUGGCCAGAGACCGAUAGCGCACAAGUAGAGUGAUCGAAAGAUGAAAAGCACUUUGAAAAGAGAGUUAAAAAGCACGUGAAAUUGUUGAAAGGGAAGCGCUUGUGACCAGACUUGCGCCUGGCAGCUUAGCCGUCCUUCUGGGCGGUGUACUCUGCCGGCUCAGGCCAGCAUCAGUUUCGGGCAGGGGAGAAAUGCGGCGGGAAUGUGGCUCUUCGGAGUGUUAUAGCCCGCCGUUAUGCCCUGCCGGGGACUGAGGUUCGCGCUCUGCACGGAUGCUGGCGUAAUGGUUAUCAAGCGACCCGUCUUGAAACACGGACCAAGGAGUCAUCCUUCAUAAUGCGAGUGUUCAGGGUGCAAAACCCCCUACGCGAAAAUUGAAAGUGA